rnacentral:rRNA from 1 species
CGGAUGACUUGUGGCUGGGGGUGAAAGGCCAAUCAAACCGGGAGAUAGCUGGUUCUCCCCGAAAUCUAUUUAGGUAGAGCCUCGGACGAACACCAUUGGGGGUAGAGCACUGUUAAGGCUAGGGGGUCAUCCCGACUUACCAACCCCAUGCAAACUCCGAAUACCUAGGAGUUCAAUCACGGCAGACAGACAGCGGGUGCUAACGUCCGUUGUCGAGAGGGCAACAACCCAGACCACCAGCUAAGGUCCCUAAUAUCAGUUAAGUGGGAAACGAUGUGGGAAGGCUUAGACAGCUAGGAGGUUGGCUUAGAAGCAGCCACCCUUUAAAGAAAGCGUAAUAGCUCACUAGUCGAGUCGGCCUGCGCGGAAGAUAUAACGGGGCUAAACUGAUAACCGAAGCUGUGGAUGCGCAUUUAUGCGCAUGGUAGAGGAGCGUUCUGUAAGCCUGUGAAGGUGAGUUGAGAA